rnacentral:sRNA from 1 species
CUAUGUUAGUUGCAUUUUAGCGGCGAACGCUUCACAACGCGCUUCGUCUAGUACACGUUUUCGUUUCUCGGGCGGCAAAAAGAUGCUGUUUUCCAUUUCAUGUUCAUAUAUCUGAAAUCAAUUGCAUUCUCGUAUUGAAUAAAACCACUAAAAUGGAAUAACAUGCAAAUAAAUGCAAAUAAAGUAGAAAACUAAUAAACAACUCUAUAAAAAAUCAAACUAGCAAACAAAUUGAUAUCAAAUCACCGGACCAAAUUGGAAAAGGGGACGAAGUGAGACGAUAAUCAUACCGUCACGUGUCUUUUUGGUUUUGUGAAAGGAAACCAAACAAGGAAAGCACAAAGUUAAACACACACACACUCAAAUAUCCAUAGACCGCGCCAACCACAUCCAUCCAGAUCUUAUCCAUCCAACCAUUCAACGUUCGUUCGCCCGUUCGCUUGUUCGCUCUGCUAUAAAUGCUUGCCACAAACAGUUAAUAAUAAAUAAUACACCUCAGAAAAGAAAAGC